rnacentral:rRNA from 1 species
AGAACUUCACAGUUAAGCGUGCUUGACCUGGAGUAGUACAGGGAUGGGUGACCUUCUGGGAAGUUUCCCAGAAAUUGCACAAA